GGUUCAGGAAAAUUGAUCGGAUUCGAAAACUUUUGCCAUCCAUAUAAUAUAACUAAUAGUGGAACUUCGUCAAGUGACACAGUCAUGGCUGAGUGAAAUCGGACACAAUAUGAUUUGAGAAAUUGGACACAAAAAUAUUCACUGUUGUAUAACACUGGCAAUACCUGAGUUUGUCAAAGAUAAUUUACAUAAAUGGAGAAAUUUGGUACAAAAUAUUUCUGUUGUAUAAUCUCAUGUGACAUAAAAGCAAAUGAGGGUUGAAAGUGAAAAAAAAAAUUAAUAAUAUAAAGCUUAUUUAAUUAAGGCAAACAUAUUCACUACUGAAAUUCAUCUUACCUUAGAC
rnacentral:misc_RNA from 1 species